rnacentral:misc_RNA from 1 species
CCGUGCUCGGCGGAGCUCCCGAGCCUGCGUCUUGCUGCCCCGUCGCAUGUUGCUUACUUGGAACCAUUUGGUCCCGGUGCAGCAGUGGCGGGCAUGUGAUCGCGGGCUCGGUUGCGGCCGUGUCGGCAUAUGAGUGGUUUUGGAUCCGAAUGUCCUGACGGGCUCCCUGCCUCUGUGCAGCCAACCGUCGGCGACGCGGUCCGUUCAUUUUCGUCGCCCGAGGACCCUUCGAGUCUCGGUGCGUUGCCAAGUUGCCUGUGCGUAAAACCCCAUUUUAUGGGAACAACAUCUCGACCAUGCGCUCGACUCGCCCCAUCUUGCCUACAAGCACGGAGGGGCGGCACUACAUGCGAUCCUCAAGUUUUCCCCGGGACGCGGGUGGUCAUGUUCGGCCGUCCGCACUCGGUGGGUGCUUGAGGCAUCGCGAGGACUUGCGGAAGCAGUGUAUGCGGAGAUCCCGUGGGCCGUGGCCCUCGGCCUCCUCUCGGUUGCGAUUCGGCUAUAAAAAAAAGUCGAUCCCGUUCGAAUGACGCUCGAGCCGCCGUAACCUCUCACCUCCCCUCCCGGGGAGGGCGCGGGGCACGGCGGCCGAUGUCAUCGAGGGCUGUGC